UGCUCAGCCACUGUGUUCUGCAAACCCAUUGUUCUGAACCUUCAGGUAUGAAUUUCUCCCAGUUUACCUUUUUUGGGAUCUGUUUGAACGUUAAGUGAACUAGAAAUAGGAAGAAUGCACCCAAAUCCAAAAAGUUUAACUUCUUUUCGGCAAGAAAAUUAACUUCAACAAGAAUGAAUCAUGAUUUCCUGAAAAUAGAUAUCCUUCCACGUUCAGUAUUAGUUAAACUAGCCAGAGACAACAUGAAGGCACAUGACUAAUGGUUGACAUAAAUGGCGAAGAUUUAACACUGACUUAUCCAAUGUCUGUUUUAGUAUUCUUUACACUGCUCUGGAUGCUUAAAUGCUUGAUCAUGUCUUAGCUUUCGACAUUUGCUUAAUAAAUACUAGAAUUGAAGACACGGUCAUCAAAAUACAGUUAUGAUGCUCAAGGGUUCCCUGAAUUUUACAAAGAAAUGAUCUUUCUGCAGUAACGGCAAUCCAAAAAAAAAAAUAUCAGGUGCUAUUGUACAGUUAUAGUAAAUGAAAUGGCAGCUAACUCAUUAAGGGUACAAAACUUUCAUUUUGUGCACCAGAGAAAAAUUUCCAACAGUAGAAGUUUUAUAUGUGCAACAAAUGAUCAGCCUAAACUUGUUAUUGAGACUUAGGGCUAUAAAUGCUGAGAGACACAAGUCAAGACCCUCAACUUUUCCCUUCUAGCUCUGUCUCCUGCCAAUCCUUAAAAAAGGGCUAAAGUCUCUCUGGAGUCAUAACACAACUUCAAAGGAGUGAUAUCAUCCAUCUGAAAUUACUCCUCUCACUUCCAAAACCAAAAGCUACUAAUGUUUUCAUGGUAAGUGGUCAAGCAAACUCACAUUUUAACAAUUUCAGCAUUUAUAUUACACGAACAACUGUAAUGUCCAACACCAAUUUUUCAGAGAAGAAUGGCCAAAGGUAAUAAAAGACAGAACUGGAUCCUAUAGACUAUAGAACUUCAAGUUAUGCAGAUAAUCAUGAUUAGGAUAUCUUCAAUAUCAAUAUCAAGUGCUAGACUUGGCUCCAUAUUCCUCUGCAUCAACAAAAUGAAGUUAGUGGUAAAAAAAAAAAAAACCGUAAACCUAAUAGAAGAUACAUAGGAAAGACGAGUACACUAAGUAAAUAGAGUCAUUAGUACAACAGAAGGAAUGAGUCAGACAACUACUGCCAUCGUAAGAGGAAAGAGAUUAUAUAAAAAAAAAAAUCUCUGAAUCAACAGUGCUUUACUUUUUAAUAAUAAGUUCCCAACAGGUCAAUCUAUGUGCCACUGAACUUGAGAUCCAACACAUGAAAAAUGAUCACCAUAUCUUAUCUAGCACAAUGCAACAAAUGAAUGACACCAACACCACACUAGCUUAGAGUGAUUAGCAAUUCCUCAAACUGGAAAAGAGGGGUUAGGGAUUACUUAAAAAUCCGGGGCCUAACCCAGAAAGAAAAAAGGAAGAAGUUCAAACUGCAAACUAUUAAAGUUGGAAACAGCACAAAGCGGGAGAGAAAGGAUCACAGAUCUGAAGCUUCUAGCAACUUUACUGCCAGCUUCUGAUAGAUUUUCCACUUUGAAAUGAAAUAUUAAAAUCUUCUCCUUUCUUAAAACUAAAACUUAAAAAUCAGUACAUGGGUUUGUACAGAUAGGAGGCAGAGAAAACAUUUGAUGAAUUAUCUUAACAAAGUCAUACCUCAGUGUUGAUACCUUGCCUACAUCCAUGCUCCUUAUCCCUUCAUAAGUUUUAGGUCCACAAAUCUGAAGCUUCUAACCACUUUUCUGACAGCUUCUGAUUGGUUUUCCACUUUGACAAUAAAAUAUUAAAAUUCUUCUCUUUUCACAAAAUAUUAAAAUUCUUCUCUUUUCACAAAUCUGAAGCUUCUAACCACUUUUCUGACAGCUUCUGAUCGGUUUUCCGCUUUGACAAUAAUAUUUUUAAAUAAGUUUAUGGGCUUAUACAGAUAAGAGGCAGAGAAAACAGUUGAUGUAUUCUCGGAACAAGUCAUUCCCAGUAUUGAUGCCUUGCUUACAUCCAUGCUUCUUAUCCUUCAUAAAUUUUAUUAACUAUUUAGACUAUCCGACUACCAAUUUUCCAAGAAUCCCUUUCAUGGGUAUAUUAAAAAAGAAAAAAAAUCUCGAAUCACCCAUCAUCUGAUAUAAAUAAUAAAGGUAUCAGCAGCCAGCUUGUGCCAGCAUCUAUUAUUGCUGAAGUAUUUAGUAAAUAUUAGGACUAGGCAAAAAGCAGUUGCUCUUCCUUUUAAAGCAAGCAUUGAUACUUGUGCAACUUUUCAACCUACAAAAACGUGGUUCACAUGCAAAUAGAAGAUGAACAUCAAAAUCAGAUAUAAUCAUCCUUGGAAAGAUUAGGCUACCUCCUGAUGAUGCUGGUUCAUAUCCUCUUGUUUUGUUUUCGAGCUGCUAUGCAUACAUGGUUUUAACCUGCAAUGCAAUUUGACUUGAAUUAUGCCAACUUCUAAGUUCAUUCCUCCUCAGAUUGCAUGCGCAUGUGAUGUCAGACAUCCAAACAAUUUCAAACUCAUGGUGAUCUUCAAAAGCCAUAAGACGAAAGGGUACAGUAACUGUUAAAAUUUGGACUUAAAAGCAACAAAAGAAACCUAUUAGAAGAAAUCCCUUUCAUAGUUAACUUUAUCGGCAAUUGAGGAAUUCACUCAUCCUGUAAUAGUUAAGUAGUGUUAAGUGAAAGAUGUGGAGGAAGUAAAAAUAAAAAGCUGCAGGUAAUAAUGCAGAAAAUAAUCUUAAUGAGAGAAGUCAGGCCUAAAACCAUUUAGAAACAAAACAAAAUCUGGUGGAAAUCGAAAUCAUGAGAAACUUGUACUUUUAAAGGAAUCACAAGUUUUAGUGGUCCCUUGAAUAUGCUUUAGAAGAAACACGUUUUUCUUUUUUGAAUGUUAUAUUCACGGCGUUCUACAUACUUUAUUAUGGAUCAGAACCCCCCAUAUGCAUCAAAACCACUGAACCAUUUUUCUGCAGUAUCUUCACUGUAUAAUUUUUGUACAAUAAGCACAUCAAAUACGUAGAAUUAAAAAGUUUCUAAUGCACAACUUUCUGCCUCGCUGACUCAAGUUCCUCCACUAUUAAGCAAUAAGGCUCCUUCCCAGUUACAAUAAGUACUCAGAUGACAAGCCUUUUCAGUGACAUCAACACGUGCUAAAAUGCAGGACAUGAAAACAUGUUGCAUCUACAAAUGAUGUAUAGGUAAACAGCUAAAAGGUGACAUCUUACACUAUUUUUUCUGGUCUGUCCUUCAGCGAGAACAGCGGUGGUACUAGGAUCAUCAAAUCAUCCUGAUCAACAUCCAUAAGGCCACCCUUCUCUACUAAUUAUGCAUAAAAGAAGAUCAAGCUGAAUAAGAACUGAAAAUCAAGUUAAAUAGGAAAACAGUUUUAUCUAAUUUACUUCAAAUUCUGAUAAAAUAAAGUAAGCCUGACCAAAUUCAGCCCAAUUUCUCUUCUUUCGUCUGGCAACGUCAGCAUGCUGGUAAUCCACCAUUCCUAAAAAAGCAUGUAUACAAUAAAGAGAAAUGUCAUGUCAUCCUAGGUGAUAGAUACAGAGGAAUUGAAAAAAUCAAAACAACAUGAAUGAACUUUCAAACCAUUAAAAUGAUAAGCUUCUCCUAUGCAAGCAACAAUAGCGGCAGAAAGAUGUUCUUGCCGUUCCUCAACAACCUGGGACUCAGCUUCUGCUGUAGUUUCUAUCGAUCCAGAACAGGAUUCAUGUUGUUCAAGACUAACAGGAUCAGCAGAAGAACUGCUUGAUACCCUCUUUCUAAGCUCAGGAUCUUGGGCAUUGCUUACUCUGUCCUUUGAUAUUCUCAAUAAAAAAUUGUUGCAAGUAUGAAGUUCUCCAAAGGCAGGGUGUGAAUACGGAUCUUCUGGGUGGAAGUGGAGUUCCAACUUAUUUGACUCUGAACUACGAGCCUGAAACAAAGCCAAGAUGGCAUUUCACAUGCAAGCCAAAAAUUCUAACCAUUUAGGAAUAUACUAAAGGUUCAAAUUUUAAGCAGAAGUUGACAACUUCAAGAAUACCAAAAGCAAUACCAACUCUCACUAUUCGAGGUAAGCAGGGUGGACCAUUCUUCUCUACUUGGUAAUUUGUCAAAUUCUUGAUAUUCCAAUGAGAUAAAAAUAUCACAAAAAAAAAAGCCGCUAUCCUUGCCAACUCUAAUAUCUCUUUAUAGAGCAAUGGAUCAACUAAUCAACUAAGGAAAGAAAAUAAGAGACAAUAAGCAAAGAGCCUGAAAUUCCUCUUCCAAAUACAGAUUAAACCUAUGUUACGCAUACUCAGGGACGGGAGUCCCACUGCUCAUUGCUGGUAUUUGUUAGAAAAAAGAAUGCAGUCAGUUGAGUCCUCCAAUAACUCCAAAUCAUCCCCAAGUAUUGUUUCAUACUGAGUGGUGGACACCGACAUGUUUUACAGGAAAACUAGAGCAUUCUACCUGGGCAAAAGCACAAAGAAACUUCCAUGAACACAUAGGCUCUAAUAAGAAACAAGGCAUUAGCAUUCCCACUGUAAGAUAAUGAGCCAAUUUUCGGAUAGUUCCCAAGAACCUAAAACUGUUGAGGUCCUUGCCAUAUUGUGAACCUUAAUGUGGCUUAACCAAAAUAACCAAUGAAGCUUCAAAGCAAUUAAUCAAUCUAGUGCUUCCUCAAUGCAAUCUGAUCUAGCAUAUAUUCCACUGUUAAUAAGUUCUGAGUCCAGUUUAUUGAAGUCCAGGAACCCACCAUCAGAAUCAACAUCCAUCAAUAAAAGCAAACUGAUCAUUGAAUAGAUUCCCAGGAGAAAGACAUUAAACCCAACUAAUCUGUUUCAUCUCAUUACCUCUACACUGGUGAAUAACUAGUCUGUUUCAUCCUUCUACAACAACUGAACUUUUGAAGAAAACGAAUCAAAUGUUCAAAUAUAUUCAACAGUUAUCAUGAAUGCGUGCUGUUGAGUACUAAACAGAAGGCCUACAAAUCCAUGCCUUAUGGAGUCGAAGUAGAGCAACCUAUACCAUUAACUAACUUUAUCCCUCGAGCUAGCCCAGUAGCCAUUUUAUUAUCUUUGCAAAAACUUUAACACUUGGGGAACAAUAAUUUUACCACUUGAACCAACCAUAUCACAACAAUCAAUUACAAUAACAGACAUAAAUAAUCAAACUUGUUAAGAAUGUUCAUCACAAAAUCAAUUGCGAAUUCAAAUACAGGACAGACCCAGAACACUAUCAUGAAAACGCAACGUAGAAUUCCUAAAUAACCAAAAAAAAAUAUUGUACAUAUCAAGAUUACAAGUACCAAGCAGAACAAAAUACGCAUUCAGAGUGUGUAUAUUUGUGAUUUAAACAGAAUACUAACAUGCCAAUUGAAUAAUAGGACGAUCCCAGAACACUAUCAUGACAACACGCAACGUAGUAUUGUUAAAUAACCAAAAAAAAAUAAUGUAAUUAUCAAUGCUAGUAAUAACAAGUAGAACAAAAAAAACGCACAAUCAAGUGUGUGAGUGCGUGUUUUUUGUAGUUUAAAGACUGAACCUUGGCAAUGGCUUCAGUGCCGCCGAGAGUCUCGACGGCGCGGGCGAUGGAAGAAGGGUAAGCCGGGUAGUUUACAGCGAAGGCCGCCGUGUUGGCGGGCCAAUUGCCUGAGAUUGUACCGUCUUUUAUGAUUCCCAUUGCUAUUUGCUGUGGCAGUUUGCCCUUUGCUGCAGCUGCAACAGCUAACGGCUAACAAAAAUCAACAAUUGCACACUAUAUCUAUUUAGAAGUUAAAGCUCGUGACUUUUUACCAGACCUUUUACCAGAAGUUGUCAAAACAUAUUAGCUUCUUAAUUUUGAAUUUGGAAUCGUUUCGGAGUGAUGAAAGCUGAUAAGUUUCUUGGCAUAAGUGUAACUUGAACAUGCAAGAGAGGAGUAUUAGUAAGCCUGGUCUUUAAACUUAAAUUUUAGCACUUCAUUGUUGAUAAAUAAAAGGAGUUAAUUCUUGGUAUGAGAAGAAAUGUAAAGAAUGAAUCGAGUCAAGGGAUCAACACAGGAAACGGGUAAACCUGUUGAACUAAAAUUGUUGCAGAAUGGCAACGGCCUUUUUGUUGAUUGUUGAAUGCUCUUCAACUCUGUACCAUUGGGUAAACAAAGUAUAGUCACAGGCGAAGGAAGUGAAAACCAACAAACUAUUUCUUUUCUGUAUCCUUUUCUUAACUAAUCUAAAACUGUAACUAUCGCCCAAUCCAAAAAAUAAAAAUAAAAAUAAAAAAAUCUACAGAAACUAAGAAGGUUUCAUCGAAUCAGCCCCUGAAUCCUCUCUCUAGCCGCCAGCAACUGCUCUUUCAUGUGCAGUAAUUCCUCGAUUUCAGCACAACCAUCCACGUCUAUCCCAUCCAACCACUCCCUCAAACCAUUGCUGGUACUUGCACAAAAAGCAUUCGCAUCCUUUCCACCUUUCUUGAAAUCGAACCCAUUAAAUGUAGCACCACCGGAAGCAGGGCCGGUACCCUUGUUCAGAGCAUUAUCGAACAACGAUAUAUCUCCCAUCGUGUAGGGAUUCCCGGCCGGCGAGAAGACAAUCACGGCAACGUUGGCCCCAAUUUUGGCUUGCAAUUCUCGAACUUUCUUGAAAAGACCCUUGCGUCUUUUCGAGAAUGUUACCAUUCGGGAUGAUUCCUUUUCAAUUUUUUUGAUUUCUAUCUUCUUCUUUCCGGAGCCCAUCCUUGUUUGCACGAUAUCCUCCGUGGGUUUUUUUUUCUCCUGCCUCCUUGACGUGAUAAUUCAGUCGCUCUGCAAUUUCUUAUUAGGGAGUAAUCUGAAUCUGUUUAACGAUCAGUAGGGUACUGAUAAUUAUAUAAAGGAAACAGCUAUCAGAAAAAGGAAAGUCCCGCGUGGAAGCAGAGGUAAUUUCCUAAUUCGUCUCGGCAGCCGCGGGAAAUUCACAAAUUAGACCGUUGAUAUAUUAAGUCGGGUCUUGAUUUUUAUUUAAUUUAAAUAAACAAAUUAAUUAAUUAAUUAUUAAAAAAAAGGAUAGAGACUGAGAGACGGGAAAGAAAGAACAAAAAUGUCUCAUAUGGGUCAUAUAGCUGGACGGAGAUUGACACGCUUCUUUUUCUUCAAUGCUUUUUUUUUCCAUAAUCUAAUAUUAAAAUUCUUUACCUUCAUAUGAGUGAAAAAUUCUAAUACUUCAUUUCUUGUCAAGCGUCAAAGCUUGGACUCACCCAAUAUCUAGUUUGGCUAGGAUGAAAAAGAAAGGAUCUAUAAAUUAGGUUAUGUAAAAAAGAAUUUUAAAAAUUUCCUUUUUUCGUGUGUGGGAUUAUCGUAUAAGCCUUAGAUAGAAACUAUAAGUAUAAACUUAAUUCUUCUUCCUUUUUUUUUACACUUUUAAUUUUUUUUCCCAAUAGAAAAUGAUGGAACUUAAGAAACGGGAGAGUGGGUAGAGAGAUUUGAAUCUAAGACCUCUAGUUAAGCAUAAAACUUAGUUCUUAAAUAAGAAUAAUUUAGAAAUUAUUCUUACAAUCUCUCCCACCUUAACACCCAACCCUCCCCCUAUUAAUAUAUAUAUAUAGAUAUAUAUUAGAUUAUAUGUGAUUUAGGUGUAUUAACAAGUGCUCAUGGGGUACUUGUUAGAAAUAUUAAAAAAGCCUUAAUUUAUAAAUACUUUAUAUUUCUUAUGUUUUAUAGGGAAUUCAAUCAGUUGUUUAAUACAAAUAAAAAAAAUAAUAGAAACUCACUAUCAAAUUAAUUAUUAGUAGUGUAAAAUAAUGAUAUACAUAUUGUAUACCAAAUUUGAGACUAAUUAUGCAAAAGAGAACAAGUAUAUGAGAUAUUAGUGACAUGAAUGAAUUAAACAAAAUAAAGAAGAAGAAAGAUAAAUUUAAUUAAAAUUCAUUUUACCCAUUCAAUACAAUUUCAAUCUAAUUGGCACCUCAUUUCAUUAUAAGCCCUUAACAUUAUUAUAUAAAAUUUAGAGAAAUACAAUAAUUCAAAAUCAAAAUAUUGAGAAUCAAAAGUGCAAAUUCAAAGUUAUUGACUAAUGGUAUUUAGAGGUUGAGUGUUAGUUAUUCUUGAAUUUCCAUUAGUUACCCUAAAUGUGCCUAAAAUCAGGAAUUUUAGGGACCAUAUUUACUUUAGAUUAAAUAUUAUGGGCCAAUAUAGUGCACAAGUCAAAUAUUAGAGACCAAAACUAUGAUUUUCUCUUAUAUGUAUUCCUUUUCUUCUAUCACCGUCGCAAAGAAGCGUGGAUUCAUUGCAAGUUGUCAAAAGUAAGUUCAGUUAAUAACAGACUUUUCAAAUAAAAUUCAAGAUAUUGAUGAUUAAAUUAUAAAAUUCCCACCUUGAACUUGUUAGAAUCCAAACACAGAACAAACAACUAUUGAAAUAUUAAGUAUAUAACAAUUUAAUGAUAAAUAAGUCACAAGUAUGAAAGAUAAACGAUACACAAUAUUUAACGUAGUUCUGCUCCACUAUUGAGCCUACGUCCACGGAGAGAAACCCAUUCUUUAUUAUGAGAGGAAUACCCUAUACAAGAAUACAAUUUGAAUCCAAACCUAAUCCUUAUAUACCAUUUCUCAUCUCCCAAGUACCCUCUCUCAGCACUCAUGUAUAAGACUAGGGAUGGCAGCUGGGUGGGGUUGGGGCGGGACUACAAACUCCCCCCGCCCUCGCCCCAUCCCCCGUCCCCCGCUCCCCCCGCCCCGUCCCCGUUCCGCCCCACUUCCCCCGCAGGUGCCCUAGUAGGACUAAUAAAAAUUUGUUAUAUAAUUUUAUUGUAGUUAAAUUUUAGCAAAUAAUCAAGUACUAAAAUAUCAACACAUCAUCAAAUUAUUAUUCAUUGUAAUUUUACAAUUGAAACUUAUAAAAACAAUCAAAUAAAAAUUAUUUGAAUACAAUCCAACAUGAUGAAAUAAAUAUAACUAAAGUAGUCAAGUUUUCACUUUUGGCACAAAUACAAUCACUAAUUCAUUAUUGUGCUUGUGCUUUUUUUAAGAAAAAAAUGUUAUUGUAUUUUGUGUAAUUAGGGAUUUAGUAUAAAUGUAUUAGUAAAUUUAGUAUAACCAAUUAAUAAUUUGUUUUAGUACACAUAUAUAAUUAUUAGUAUAAUUAAUAAUAUCAAUUAUAUUAUAUAUACUAAUAGACAUUAUAUAAUACAUAAAACUAAUAAUAUUAUUAUCAUAAGUUUGUAACUGAUUAAAUUAUAUAUUAUAUACAUGUAUUUUAUAUAUUUAAUUUUUUAAAGCGGGUGGCGGGCGGGGGUAUACUCCCCCGCCCCGUUUCUAAGCGGAGCGGCCCCGCCCCACCCCCUUCCCCAUUAGCCCCCCUCGAGGCGGGUGCCGUGGUCACUCGCCCCCAUUGUCAUCCCUAUAUAAGACUACAUGUCGUCUCUUGUACGCUCUUAUGUGUCUCUUGUGCAGUAUAUUAACCCACUUAUUUAUAGGAAACAUUGUCUGGCCAAAACCCAAAUAACAACAGAAAAUCAAUACUAAUUCCUAAAUUUGUACAGAAUAGGAAAUGACUUUUAAAUCCUAAACAAAAUAGGAAAUUCCUUGGCUACUAUUUCAAAUAACUAAAACCAAUUAAGAAACUAGUUACUUCCACACAAAACAAGAAACCUAUCUAAAAGAAAUUAAGCCAAUUUCCUAACAAAAUUGUUCUUUACUUUUGGUGCUUUGGGAAUUCUAGAAUAUGACGCUUUAUAGUGUGUUUCCUGAUGCUAAUCCAAUGGUGAAUGACUCAAGAAUUGAGUAUGUGAUUUGCCAUGGACGGUGUUUUUUGGACUUACCAAAGUGAGUCGGUCCUUUCCUUCCUUUCCUGACUAUUGAAAUUCCUGUAUUUGGAAGUUUUCAGACUAAAUUGGUGUUUUACAUGUUAUGUGAUGGAAUUUCUCUCUUUUUCCUUACCGUUUUAGUUUCGAUAUUGGGUCCAGGAACUAGACAUUUUCUUUGUCAUUAUUCUACAUUUAAAGUUUAGACACUUCAGUAUUGGCUGAUGCUUUGGGAGUUCAAAGAAUGUGUGUCACAGUCGUUUUCAACCUUUAUACAGAAAUUACAAGCAUUGUUUAUUUCGAGUGGAAUGACAGGUGUACAUAUCCUAUAAUACUUGCAAUUUUUGUCAUUCUAGACCAUGGUUCAAAGUCGCAGUCACGGCCUGGACCAUUCCACAUCGGUCUCGGCAUAUCGGCCGCGGUUUCGGCGAGACGCGAAUUUUUAAAAUAUUUAAUAUUUUAAAAUUUGUAAAAAAUAUGAUAAACAAAAAUAAUUAAAAAUUUUGUAAAAAUAAUAAAAAAUCGAGUUGAUUCGAGAUGACUCGGAGUGACUUGGUGAGACUCGGCCGUUUCAACCCUUCACGGUGACGUCUCGGCGAGUCACGUAUCUCGGUAUCGUUUCGUCGCGGUCUCGUCUCGGACUAAACCGAGACGGUGACAACUCGGCCGAGUCUUUGAACCAUGUUCUAGACUGCAUUCCAUUCUCACUUAAAGUACGAUUUGUCCGGCCACUUCUAUAUUAAAAAGAAGCAGGGAAAAAAAUAAAUUAGAAGACAAAAUCAGCCUUUUGAAAUACAUUUAAUCAAGUUUAAAGAUUUGUUUCUUUUCUGUUUUUAUAGGAAACCAUGAAUGUAUCUUUUUGUUUUUUGUUGGUACUGAUAUCCUAAAUGAAUUGCCUCUCUUUUGCAGGAGACCUUCAAUUUGAUAGCUGCUCUCAGGUUGAAUUUUGUGCGUCAUCCCAUAAGGCAAGCAAAACUUUGAAUCUUAGGCGCUUAAGUUCAUGCUGUACUUUAAGCACUCAACCACUGAAUAACUGGCUUACUAUCACAGAUUCCCUCAUUUCUUUUGUUUCUAUAGAAUGGAAUGUUAGGGUGGUAAUUUAUAUUAACCACUGGUGAAAGCCAUCACCUAUUAAACCUAAAAUCGAUAUGGCGAUUAUUAAGAAAUAAUUAACUGUAAAAUAGCGGAAGCGUACCUGAAUCCAUAUCGAUAAACUUGAUACUUGAAUCCCUAGAGAUUUGGGGUGGCCUUCCAGGUCAACAGGUAUUCACCGAUCCUUUGAGAGAUGCCUUUAGUUUCUCUCUGGUAUCUCUCCUGACGAUGGGAUAUCAGGGAAGAGGUAUUUUGUGGUAUUAGAAAAUACGACAACUAAAACGAUGCCUAUGACGUGGGGACCAUAACCCUAUUUAUAGGUAACAUUCCUGUUACCUUUGGAGCCCUAUUUCAGCCCAUCAUUGAAAUAGGAGCCCAUAAUUUUCUACACAUAAAAGGGCCCACAUCCUAUUAGAUACAUUAAACCCAAACUAUAUUUGAUCACUUUAAUUGGGUUUAACCUUAAUUGACAGUUUGCAAUACAUAAUUAUUCACAUAUAAGUCCAAUGUUGGAUUAAGGAUCCAACAAUCUCCCACUUGGACUAUAUGUGUAACCUUAUAAUUAUGUUUUGCAAUUAACCGUAUGAGCUCAACUUUACUGUCAUUAUCACAAUGUAUCUGUAACCAAUUCGGUCCAUCAAUUACACCAAUAUAGGAUCAAAGCGGCCUUUGUUACAAUUUCGUAACUCGACCCAUCAAUGGUCACAUAUAUCAAUGCAAUUGAAUGACAUGAAUUAUGAUGUGGAUGUGUAGCAUGGAAAUUUCAUGUAAUGUGAUCAAAACAUGCCUAGCUAUUUCCAACUGGUCUACCUUAAAUUUAUGAGAUCAAACCACACCAAAGUUAGAGUGCAAAUAAAUCCAGACUUUAUUUAUGCAUAAAAUAUCCUUAAACCCUUAAUAACUGAAAAAGUAUCAUAAGAGCAUUUAAAAUAACAAACUCCCACUAAAACUGUACAUCAUUUAAUACGACACCCAUAUGAGCAGUAUGCUCAUGAAACAUUUUGGGUGGCAAUCCUUUAGUAAGCGGAUCCGCAACCAUGGAGUUUGUCCCGAUGUGCUCUAUUGAUAACUGUCCAUUUUGCACUCUUUCUUUAACAGUCAGGAACUUGAUAUCUAUAUGUUUAGAUUUGGUCGAGCUCCUGUUGGUAUUGGAAUAUAAGACUGCUGACUUAAUGUCACAGAAUAAUUUGAGUGGUCUUUCAAUGCCAUCCACUACACGUAAUCCCGUGACGAAAUUUCGCAGCCAAAUUCCUUGGUUGGAUGCCUCAUAGCAAGCUAUAAACUCUGCAGCCAUAGUGGAAGAUGCUAUGAGGGACUGUUUAGCACUCUUCCAGGAUAUGGCACCUCCAGCCAACAAGUAGACAUAGCCUGACGUUGACUUCAUAGUAUCUUUGCAUCCAGCAUAAUCGAAAUCAGUAUACCCAAUGAUCUCCAACUCAUCUGACUUCCGAUACGUGAGCAUGUAGUCUUUUGUUUUCUGUAGAUACCGUAAGACCCGUUUGGUUGCUUUCCAAUGAUCUAAUCCAGGAUUACUCAAAUAUCUACCCAACAUUCCAGUAAUGUACGCAAUAUCCGGACGCGUACAUACUUGAGCAUACAUUAGACUCCCUACUGCUGAGGCAUAAGGAAUCUUUUGCAUCUCUCUUUCCUCAAAAGCAUUCUUGGGACACUGUUCAAGACUAAAUUUGUCUCCUUUAGCCACAGGGGUGUCACCUGGUUUACAAUUUUGCAUGCCAUACCUUUUAAGGACAUUUUCGAUAUAGCCCUUUUGUGAUAGUCCUAAAAUACCCCGAGAGCGAUCACGGUGUAUUUGUAUGCCUAACACAAAAGAUGCAUCACCAAGAUCUUUCAUCUCAAAAUUUUUAGUUAGAAUUUCUUGAUUUCAUGCAAUAGACCAAUAUCGUUGCUGGCAAGUAAAAUAUCAUCAACAUACAAUACCAGAAAAAUAUAUUUGCUCCUACAGAACUUAUGGUAUAUGCAAUCAUCUACUAGAUUCAUCUCAAGACCAAAUGAGAUAAUCACUUGAUGAAAUUUGAAAUAUCAUUGUCGAGACGCUUGUUUGAACCCAUAGAUGGAUUUUUUAAGUUUGCAAACCAUAUUCUUUGGAUCUCCUGAUACAAAAUUUUCUGGUUGCACCAUAUAAAUCGUCUCAUCAAUGCUACCAUUGAGAAACGCUGUCUUUACAUCCAUCUGAUGUAACUCAAGAUCAAAAUGUGCCACUAAUGCCAUGAUAAUUCUAAAGGAGUCCUUUGAAGAGACUGGAGAGAAGGUUUCUUUAUAAUCGAUACCUUCCUUUUGUGUAAAUCCCUUAGCGACAAGACGAGCUUUGUAUCUUUCUACAUUGCCUUUCGAAUCUCUUUUGAUUUUAAAUAUCCAUUUACAACCAAUGGGUUUCGCUUCUUCUGGCAAUGGGACAAGAUCCCAAACGUCGUUGUCCUUCAUGGAUUUAAUCUCCUCAUUCAUGGCAUCGAUCCACUUUUGAGAAUUUGAACUUUUCAUGGCUUGACGGAAGUUGAUUGGAUCAUCUUCCAUCAAUCCAGAGGCAUCCUCAUGUUCUUGGAGAAAAACAAUGUAAUCAUCUGGCACUGCACUUCUCCUUUCUCUAGUGGAUCUUCUUAAUGGCUCUGGUUCUUGAAAAGGAAGAGUUUGUUCUUCUAUAAUAGUUUGCUCUUCAACAUUGUCUUGAUUUGUCAUGUCAUGAUCAAGUUCAGAAAUAGGGCCCUGAGCAAGAGUAAUGACACUGUGGGAAUAUUAAUAUAUUCCUCUUUAAAGACAAUGUCCCUUACUGUAUUUUCUCCCCCAAACUCGACAUCCUCAAAGAACCGAGCAUUUCCUGUCUCAUAAAUUGAUUUGGCUGUGGGAUCAUAAAACUUGUAACCCCUAGAUCUUUCAGAGUAUCCAAUAAAAUAACAACUAAUCGUUCUUGAGUCCAGUUUCUUUUCAUUAGGCCUAUAAGGCCUUGUCUCAGCUGGACAUCCCCAAAUGUGUAGAUGCUUUAAACUGGGCUUUUUUCCAGUCCAAAGCUCAUAAGGGGUUUUGAUAGUUGCUUUAGUUGGAACCCUAUUAAGGAUAUAUGCUGCAGUCAUAAGUGCUUCACCCCAGAGUGACUCUGGUAAGGUGGAAUGACAUAUCAUACUCCUUACCAUGUCUUUAAGUGUUCUAUUUCGUCUUUCAGCUACACCAUUCAUAGUGGGUGAACCCGGCAUAGUGUACUGUGGGACGAUACCGCACUGCUCUAGGUAUUUAGCAAAUGGUCCUGGACGUUGUUCACCUGAACCGUCAUAUCUGCCAUAGUACUCACCACUACGGUCAGAUCUGACGCUUUUAAUUCUUUUGUUGAGUUGAUUCUCAACUUCAGCCUUAAAAUUUUUGAACACGUCCAGUGACUGUGAUUUUUCAGAAAUGAGAUAUAUGUAGCCAUAUCUUGAAAAAUCGUCUAUGAACGUUAUAAAAUAUUGUUGACCAUUCCAAACAGAUGUAGGAAAUGGUCCACAAAUAUCUGUAUGUAUAAGUUCUAAGACAUCUGAGGACCUAUUGGCUUCAAAUCUCCUUUUAUUGGUUUGUUUCCCCUUUAUACAGUUAAUGCAAUCAUGAAAAUCUGUAAAAUUAAAGGGGUCGAGAAUUUCAUUUGACACAAGCCUUUCCAUUCUCCGUUUGGAGAUAUGUCCCAAUCUCUUGUGCCAUAAUGCAGCUGAAUUCUCAUUGGUUAAUUUUCUUUUAACUCCUCUAGUACUCAAAUGCAGAGAUUCAUUAAAUGAGGCAAUCGUAUCAAUUAAAUAUAGAUUAUCGUAAUGCAUUAAAGAAUCAGAACCAACCAAUUUUGAAUCAUGAAACAAUUCAAAAUUUUCAUUUCCAAAUGAACAAAAAUAACCAAAUUUGUCCAAAGCAGAAAUAGAAAUUAAAUUCCGUCUAAAAGACGGUACAACAAAUGUCUCAUAGAGAUCCAAAUAAAAUCCGGUCUUUAACAAUAAUCUAAAAACUCCAAUUGCCUCAAUUUGAACUGUUUUGCCAUCGCCCACGUAGAUAUAUCUUUCAUUAUCAUUAGGCUUUCGGCAAUUCAGGCAACCCUGCAUUGACAUACUGAUGUGAGUUGUUGCACCAGAAUCUAACCACCAUGUGUGUCUAGAUACUGAAGUUAAAUUAACCUCAGAACAAACCAAAUUAAGAAACAUACCUUUCUUAGCACGCCAAGCGUGAUAGUUGGUGCAAUGCUUCUUUUGAUGCCCUUCAGCUCCACAGAAGAAACAACUAUUCUUUCCUUGAUCAUUUGAUUUCUUUUGUUGUUUCUUUUGUGGUGUUGUACCUGCAGCUCCUUUUUCCUUCUUUCUUUUUAGUCCCUUACUUUUGUUAUUAGUGGUUGACACCAGAUGGGCACUUUCUGUCUGCUCUUGCUUCAACCUUUCCUCUUCCUCUACACAGUGUGAGAUGAGUUCAUUUAGAGACCAAAUCUCCUUUUGACAGUUGUAACUCACCUUAAACUGGCUAAACUGUGUAGGUAGAGAUAUUAAAAUCAAAUGCACUAGUAACUCUUCUGAGAGUUUCAACUUAAGUGCAUUUAAUUUCGAAGCAAGAUGAGACAUCUCCAUGAUAUAUUCUCUGAUGUUGCCUUUACCACUAUAUUUCAUUGAAACUAGGCGUGUCAAGAGCGUACUAACUUCAGCCUUUUCGUUCUUGACAAACCUUUUUUCAAUGUCCUGAAGGAACUCUUUAGCGGUUACAGUCGUUUCUGACAUUGUUCCCCUGAAUGCUUCUGGAACGGCCUUUUUAAUGAUCAUCAGACACAAGCGAUUUGAUCUCUCCCACCUCUCAUUAUUUCUCUUUUCAUCAGAGGUACUUUGAUCUGUAAGAGGUGGGGGAGAAUCAUCCCUUAACGCAAGGUCGAGAUCCAUUACUCCAAGUACUAUCAAGAGAUUUUCUUUCCAGGACUUGAAGUUUGUGCCAUUCAGCAUAGGAAUAUUAUUGAUGUUGGAAGUAAUAUUUGUAAGAUCAUUAGCAACUGAACAGAAAACAUAACAUAAUUAAAACAAGUUCACAUAAAUCAAAACAAUAAUAAAUUCAAAUAAUGGUAGUCCCAUCUCAAGAUAUCGAUAUUCCAUUAAUAUUUCGUCUUUGGACAAAAAUAUUAACUUCUAAGUGAUAUCUUGGUGCAGUAAUAAAUACUGAUAAUAAUAACAUGUCGAAAAUAAAUUUUCCUUUGGGCCAAUUUAUAAAUCACAUGUAAAAUCCAAAUAAUUAUCACGUAUUUAUUACCACAAGUGCACAUGUAAUUUCAUUAAAUAUUGACAUUCCUUUGGGCCGAUCAAUAUUCAUAAAAUUACUAGUGCCCAACUAAUUAUAUUUUAAAAUAAAUUAAUUUCCAUAAUAGAGGUCACUUUGGUGGCAUAUUAUUUCAAUUAAUUUAUUCUAAAAUAUAUAUAAUCAUACCAAUAUUCAAAUUUAAAAUUAUCCAAAAUUAAAUAAAAUUUUGAUCAAAGUCAACUUUGGUCAACUUUGGUCAAAAUGUGAUCAAACAUGGUCAAAUCAAUCAAAUUAAAUCAUGACUUAUUGGACCAAAGGUCCAUAUCCAUAAUUUGACCCAAAAUUAACAUUUAAGCCCAAAAAUUUUCUUGAAAUCCAUAAGUACUUUAUAAAAAAAAAACUACAUAUUUAAUGGGUCACACAUAUGGAUUUUAUAGGGCUUAAAUGUCCUAUUUAACUUUAUUAGGGCUCAUUUAAAUUAAAGAAACCCUAAUAUCCUUAACAUAAAAAUAUAUUCUGAUAUGGAAAUGGUUAUUUGGGGUCGCAUGGAUUAAAUUUAAAAUUAAUAAAUGUUCUGAUAUGGGCGGGGCUUGCUUGAGGGCCAUUGUAAUCAUGGUUCGAAGUCUCGGCCGAGUCGUCACCGUCUCGACCCCUACCGAUACGAUACCGUGACGAAACGAUAUCGAAAUACUUGACUCGCCGAGAAAUCGGUCGAGUCGUCACCGCGACGGAUUGAUUCGGCCGAGUCACACCGAGUCACUCCGAGUUAUCCCGAGUCAAGACGAGAAAUCAGUCGAGUCACACCGCGACGGAUUGACUUGGCCGUUUCUUUUACUAUUUUUUAACUAUUUUUAUUUAGCAUCCCUUUUUAUAUUAUUAACAAUUUUUAGAAUAUUAAAUACUUUAAAAUUUGCGUCUCACCGAGACCGCGACCGAUAUGCCGAGACCGAUGUGGAACAUUCCGGGCCGUGACCGCGACCGCGACCGUGACUUUGAACCAUGAUUGUAAUUGAUUUUUAGAUAUUUUUUGUUAUCUGGAAUGCUUAAACAUUUAUUACUUGCUUCUAGGAAUCUAACUAUUGCUUGAUUUUACCCUUAUUUUUGUAUCAUCUGUUUCUUACCUUAUUUUGCUGCUAUUGGCUGUUCGCACAUCAUGGGGCCUUUGCGACUUUUUCGUCUUUAUGGAAUCAUCCAGUUUUCUUAAAUGAGCCGAUAGAGUAACUGGAGGAUGUUAUUCAUGUUUACUUCAAUUUUUUUCCCUGACUUCAGAUAUGCUGAAUUGAUUUUUCCAUUACAUGACAUUGGAUCUAGGAUUGAUUGCAUAAUUUCACCAAUCUUGUUAAAUUUCUGAAAUCUAAACAUGAUAUGCAAGCCUAGAAGAUAUUUGGGAACAGAUGGACAAAAAUCGCAAGAUUGUUUUUAGGCAAGUAUUGAUGCAAGGUGAUCAGAUCUACUUUUUCAGUAUUUCAAUAAUUCUGAGCAGUCUAUACUUAGUUAUAAAAGGUAUUCAUCGGCAUGGCCUAAUUUUCGUGUGUACAAAUAGAAGUGAUAAUGCUGUGAAGAGUUGAGUCUCUACCAUGUAAGAAGAAAGCAAAACAUAAACCAGCAAGCUAAUAGCACAACCUUCAUACAUCCAUUUGAAUAACAAAAAGAGCUCUCUCUCCAAGUCGUCUCAAUACAGAUUAGUAUCCAGGAAACUGCAGGACCCCUUGAAGAGAUGAGAUAUUUCUAGUCACAUUUUUAGACUAACAUCACGAUCAAAUUUAGGUACCAAUGGUUUGUUAUUGUGAUUCAGUGCUUGAACCAUGAAGCAAAUUUGUUAGGCGUCUUCUUGUUAUUGUUAUUGUGUUUCGCCUGAAGUGCCGUCGGUGGUAUAUGCGUGUGUAGUUGUGUUCUAUUAGAGUCCUAUAUUUGCUGUCCGGUUGACAAUGCAAAAAUGAACUAUUUAUUUGGCAGUUUUCCUGUCUACCUUGCAUCAAAUUUUCCUGUGCUUCAUGAUGGUCAAGCUAAGGAUCCUUUUGGGAUUAGCUUACUUGGAGAAUUAAGGAAAGCGAGUGAAGCCGGUGGUGGACUGUGUCAGCAGUGGUCUCAGCAAAUUAAUACAGUUCGAAUUUGGGUAUUGGUGAAAGCAAACUUUGAUGGAGCUGUACUUGUUAACUUGGAGGCACGUGGAAUUGAUGUGAUUGUUAAGGCAAGCUUAUAGUGGUUAUGUAUAUAUGGCGAAAAGGUUUGAAGGAAAAUCCUGCCUAGAGCUGGGGAAAAUGGAGGCAACAGUGGAGUUGUGUGCAGUACCAAUGGGUGAAUUGUGUUAUGGAGAAUGAUCCAUUGAAAGUUACAAGGCAAGUUAAUUUUUUUUUUUUCCAAACGAUCUCGAGGUUAGUUAUUUUACAUCAAGUCGAGCUCGAGUCCAGUCACUACUCGAGCUCGAUUGGACUCGAACGCAGCCCUAAACUAAUCUGCUUGUC
rnacentral:lncRNA from 1 species